rnacentral:rRNA from 1 species
AACGAACGCUGGCGGCAUGCCUAACACAUGCAAGUCGAACGAUGCCUUCGGGCAUAGUGGCGCACGGGUGCGUAACGCGUGGGAAUCUGCCUUUCGGUUCGGAAUAACUCAGGGAAACUUGAGCUAAUACCGGAUAACGUCGCAAGACCAAAGAUUUAUCACCGAAAGAUGAGCCCGCGUAGGAUUAGCUAGUUGGUGAGGUAAAGGCUCACCAAGGCGACGAUCCUUAGCUGGUCUGAGAGGAUGAUCAGCCACACUGGGACUGAGACACGGCCCAGACUCCUACGGGAGGCAGCAGUGGGGAAUAUUGGACAAUGGGCGAAAGCCUGAUCCAGCAAUGCCGCGUGAGUGAUGAAGGCCUUAGGGUUGUAAAGCUCUUUUACCCGGGAAGAUAGUGACGGUACCGGGAGAAUAAGCCCCGGCUAACUCCGUG